rnacentral:rRNA from 1 species
AMCUGGUUGAUCCUGCCAGUAGUCAUAUGCUUGUCUCAAAGAUUAAGCCAUGCAUGCGCAAGUCCGCUUUUCCUUGGUGAUAAUAAAGAGUAAACCACAAAUGGCUCAUUAAAUCAGCUAUAAUUUAUUUGGUGAUAUUCCAUAAAAUGGAUAACUGUGGUAAUUCUAGAGCUAAUACAUGCCUCGAAGCCACGACCUCACGGGAAUGGCGCAAUUAUUAGGUCAAAAUCAACCGGACUUCGGUCUGUUUCUUUUGACGACUCUGGAUAAUCCAAAUAGCCACAGUUUAUCGUACGGCCUUGUGUCGACGAUAUUCCAUUCAAAUAACUGCCCUAUCAACAGGUUGGAACCACAUUGUGGUACCGCUGUUAUCACGGGUAACGGGGAAUCUGGGUUCGAUUCCGGAGAGGGAGCCUGAGAAAUAGCUACCACAUCCAAGGAAGGCAGCAGGCGCGCAAAUUACCCACUCCCAGAUCGGGGAGGUAGUGACGAAAAAUAACGAUACGAAAUCUCUUCGAGGCUUCGUAAUCGGAAUGAGACAAUUUUAAAUCCUUUUACAAGGACCUAUUGGAGGGCAAGUCUGGUGCCAGCAGCCGCGGUAAUUCCAGCUCCAAUAGCAUAUAUUAAAGUUGUUGCAGUUAAAAAGCUCGUAGUUGGAUCUUAGGUUCUGAUCGGACUGAGCACAGACCUCGGUUUGUCUCUUCUGGUCGUCCUAAAUAGUUGUGGAUUCAUUUUGUGCUCUUCACUGAGUGCGAUUUGAGCCCAACGAUGUUACUUUGAAAAAAUUAAAGUGCUUAAAGCAGGCUUAAUGCUUGUAUAAUGUUGCAUGGAAUAACAGAAUAGGACUUCAGUUUUAUUUUGUUGGUUUUCGAAUCUGAAGUAAUGAUUAACAGAGACUGCCGGGGGCAUUCGUAUGGCGGGGCUAGAGGUGAAAUUCAUGGACCCUCGCCAGACGUCCUACUGCGAAAGCAUUUGCCAAGAAUGUUUUCACUAAUCAAGAACGAAAGUCAGAGGUUCGAAGACGAUCAGAUACCGUCCUAGUUCUGACCAUAAAUGAUGCCAUCUGAUUAUCCGCUCGGUCGCAAGACCGACAUAGCGGGCAGCCCCCGGGAAACCAAAGAUUUCAGGCCCCGGGGGUAGUAUGGUUGCAAGACUGAAACUUAAAGGAAUUGACGGAAGGGCACCACCAGGAGUGGAGCCUGCGGCUUAAUUUGACUCAACACGGGGAACCUCACUCGGCCAGGACAUUAGAAGGAUUGACGGAUUAAAAGCUCUUUCAUAAUUUAAUGGUUGGUGGUGCAUGGCCGUUCUUAGUUGGUGGAUUGGUUUGUCUGGUUUAUUCCGAUAACGAGCGAGAUUGUUUCUUACUAAAUAGAAUUGCCAGAAGUAUUUACAUGUCUGGAAGAGCUUCUUAGAAGGAUCUGUAAUUUUGAGUUAUAUGAUAGAGAGCAAUAACAGGUCUGUGAUGCCCUUAGAUGUCCGAGGCUGCACGCGCGCUACACUGACGGCACCAAUAAGUUAGUUACCUGGCCCGAAAGGGUUGGGCAACCUUGUUAGUCGCCGGUAAACGUGCUUUGGGAUUGGAGCUUGCAAUUAUUCUCCAUGAACGAGGAAUUCCCAGUAAGCUUAAUUCAUCAGAUUGAGCUGAUUACGUCCCUGCCCUUUGUACACACCGCCCGUCGCUACUACCGAUUGAAUGGUUUAGUGAGGUCCUCGGAUUGGCGCUACCGGAAUGGGCAACCGUUCUAGUAAGUGCUGAGAAGACGAUCGAACUUGAUCAUUUAGAGGAAGUAAAAGUCGUAACAAGGUUUCCGUAGGUGAACCUGCAGAUGGAUCA